rnacentral:lncRNA from 1 species
CCAGAUCAUCUGCUUAGAACAAAUGUGGCUGGACAAUGUGAUAUUCUAAUUCCACAGAUUGAGUAAUUCAAGAAUUUCAGAGAUGCAACAAGGACGGAAUUACUGUCCUCAUUCUAGCUUUAGAAGGCAGGCAUGCAAGUACCUAGAGAAAGAGAACAGAUGAAAGCUGGCAGCCUCUUCAUUUACAGACAGUACAAUUUUCUGAAUUUAGCAAGACUCUUCCUUUCCCCCAAGAACGCUCUAUGAUGAAAUAAGUCAAAUGUAGAGGAAUGAUGAGCAUGACAAAAGCCCUGAUUGACAGAGCCACUGAGGAAGUAAAGAAGAACAGGAAUUGAAAAGUUUUGGAAAAUACAGGAUGCUUGUGUGUGGGAGAACAUUGAAUCCCAGGUUAAAGGGCAGUCUCAUUCAAUUCUAUUCAGCAAGUAUGUAUCAAGCAAUACUGUAUGUGUUGUGCUAAAAUCUGUGAAUACAAAACAAUCAGG